rnacentral:sRNA from 1 species
AAUUAUUUUUUGUCCAUUUCAAGCAAAACAUUAAUUAACCUUUUUCA